GCCUGUCCAGUGCCCUUUUUAUGUUGUACUACUAGUGGUCACACACAAAAAAAGCAGUGCAAUGUUAAAAGGGCAUUGGCCAGGGC
rfam:Xenopus tropicalis strain Nigerian Chr02_contig_2494, whole genome shotgun sequence.